CUUCUAGAGAUGAGAUUAGGCUGAGAGCCCACUGGGAAGCUUUGGGUUCUGCUUGGCACUUAGUGUACCCUGGAUGCUGGGUAAAUGCUAAUUACUGGUGAUGAUAACAAGGCAUAUAAAACCAGCUGUUCAUGUUUCAUGCUGUUCAGCUUCCCUCUUAGGGGAGGGGCCAGAGCAGCAUGAAGCAGACAGGGUGGCCACUUCCCUGUUUAAUGCAGGGCUCCUUGGGUGCUGUCUGUAGCUGUCCAUUACAAUUUGAAUAAUCCAUUGUACUAAGAAUAGAGGAACUAAUUGAAUUUCUACAGGGCUCCUAGGAGCUACAGUAACUCACUUUAGGAUGAUACAGUUACCUGCAAUUGUCUUGCUAGAAAAUGAAGAACAAUUUGGCAACUGUGAUUCCCUGCCCUGAAUCUGUUGUUCCUAUUUUGUUUUUAACUCUUCGGAGUGAAAUUCCUCUCCCUGGGCCUCCCAUCUCUGGAUAAAAGUGGUGCAGACUCUAAGGAAACUCAAGAUCGCAACAUUGACUACUGCUACAAUUUCCAACCUACCAGACUGUAAAAUUUGGACCUAGAAGCUCCCACAAUUACAUGAGUUAAUUACUUAAAAACAAAACAAAAUAAAACAAAACUUCUAUCUAUA